UUAAGUUAUUAAGGGCGCACGGUGGAUGCCUUGGCACUAGAAGCCGAUGAAGGACGUUACUAACGACGAUAUGCUUUGGGGAGCUGUAAGUAAGCUUUGAUCCAGAGAUUUCCGAAUGGGGAAACCCAGCAUGAGUUAUGUCAUGUUAUCGAUAUGUGAAUACAUAGCAUAUCAGAAGGCACACCCGGAGAACUGAAACAUCUUAGUACCCGGAGGAAGAGAAAGAAAAUUCGAUUCCCUUAGUAGCGGCGAGCGAAACGGGAAGAGCCCAAACCAAAAAGCUUGCUUGUUGGGGUUGUAGGACACUCUAUACGGAGUUACAAAGGACGACAUUAGACGAAUCAUCUGGAAAGAUGAAUCAAAGAAGGUAAUAAUCCUGUAGUCGAAAAUGUUGUCUCUCUUGAGUGGAUCCUGAGUACGACGGAGCACGUGAAAUUCCGUCGGAAUCUGGGAGGACCAUCUCCUAAGGCUAAAUACUCUCUAGUGACCGAUAGUGAACCAGUACCGUGAGGGAAAGGUGAAAAGCACCCCGGAAGGAGAGUGAAAUAGAACCUGAAACCGUGUGCUUACAAGUAGUCAGAGCCCGUUAAUGGGUGAUGGCGUGCCUUUUGUAGAAUGAACCGGCGAGUUACGAUUUGAUGCAAGGUUAAGCAGUAAAUGUGGAGCCGUAGCGAAAGCGAGUCUGAAUAGGGCGUUUAGUAUUUGGUCGUAGACCCGAAACCAGGUGAUCUACCCUUGGUCAGGUUGAAGUUCAGGUAACACUGAAUGGAGGACCGAACCGACUUACGUUGAAAAGUGAGCGGAUGAACUGAGGGUAGCGGAGAAAUUCCAAUCGAACCUGGAGAUAGCUGGUUCUCUCCGAAAUAGCUUUAGGGCUAGCCUCAAGUGAUGAUUAUUGGAGGUAGAGCACUGUUUGGACGAGGGGCCCCUCUCGGGUUACCGAAUUCAGACAAACUCCGAAUGCCAAUUAAUUUAACUUGGGAGUCAGAACAUGGGUGAUAAGGUCCGUGUUCGAAAGGGAAACAGCCCAGACCACCAGCUAAGCUCCCAAAAUAUAUGUUAAGUGGAAAAGGAUGUGGCGUUGCCCAGACAACUAGGAUGUUGGCUUAGAAGCAGCCAUCAUUUAAAGAGUGCGUAAUAGCUCACUAGUCGAGUGACACUGCGCCGAAAAUGUACCGGGGCUAAACAUAUUACCGAAGCUGUGGAUUGUCCUUUGGACAAUGGUAGGAGAGCGUUCUAAGGGCGUUGAAGCAUGAUCGUAAGGACAUGUGGAGCGCUUAGAAGUGAGAAUGCCGGUGUGAGUAGCGAAAGACGGGUGAGAAUCCCGUCCACCGAUUGACUAAGGUUUCCAGAGGAAGGCUCGUCCGCUCUGGGUUAGUCGGGUCCUAAGCUGAGGCCGACAGGCGUAGGCGAUGGAUAACAGGUUGAUAUUCCUGUACCACCUAUAAUCGUUUUAAUCGAUGGGGGGACGCAGUAGGAUAGGCGAAGCGUGCGAUUGGAUUGCACGUCUAAGCAGUAAGGCUGAGUAUUAGGCAAAUCCGGUACUCGUUAAGGCUGAGCUGUGAUGGGGAGAAGACAUUGAGUCUUCGAGUCGUUGAUUUCACACUGCCGAGAAAAGCCUCUAGAUAGAAAAUAGGUGCCCGUACCGCAAACCGACACAGGUAGUCAAGAUGAGAAUUCUAAGGUGAGCGAGCGAACUCUCGUUAAGGAACUCGGCAAAAUGACCCCGUAACUUCGGGAGAAGGGGUGCUCUUUAGGGUUAACGCCCAGAAGAGCCGCAGUGAAUAGGCCCAAGCGACUGUUUAUCAAAAACACAGGUCUCUGCUAAACCGUAAGGUGAUGUAUAGGGGCUGACGCCUGCCCGGUGCUGGAAGGUUAAGAGGAGUGGUUAGCUUCUGCGAAGCUACGAAUCGAAGCCCCAGUAAACGGCGGCCGUAACUAUAACGGUCCUAAGGUAGCGAAAUUCCUUGUCGGGUAAGUUCCGACCCGCACGAAAGGCGUAACGAUUUGGGCACUGUCUCAACGAGAGACUCGGUGAAAUCAUAGUACCUGUGAAGAUGCAGGUUACCCGCGACAGGACGGAAAGACCCCGUGGAGCUUUACUGUAGCCUGAUAUUGAAAUUCGGCACAGCUUGUACAGGAUAGGUAGGAGCCUUUGAAACGUGAGCGCUAGCUUACGUGGAGGCGCUGGUGGGAUACUACCCUAGCUGUGUUGGCUUUCUAACCCGCACCACUUAUCGUGGUGGGAGACAGUGUCAGGCGGGCAGUUUGACUGGGGCGGUCGCCUCCUAAAAGGUAACGGAGGCGCUCAAAGGUUCCCUCAGAAUGGUUGGAAAUCAUUCAUAGAGUGUAAAGGCAUAAGGGAGCUUGACUGCGAGACCUACAAGUCGAGCAGGGUCGAAAGACGGACUUAGUGAUCCGGUGGUUCCGCAUGGAAGGGCCAUCGCUCAACGGAUAAAAGCUACCCCGGGGAUAACAGGCUUAUCUCCCCCAAGAGUUCACAUCGACGGGGAGGUUUGGCACCUCGAUGUCGGCUCAUCGCAUCCUGGGGCUGUAGUCGGUCCCAAGGGUUGGGCUGUUCGCCCAUUAAAGCGGUACGCGAGCUGGGUUCAGAACGUCGUGAGACAGUUCGGUCCCUAUCCGUCGUGGGCGUAGGAAAUUUGAGAGGAGCUGUCCUUAGUACGAGAGGACCGGGAUGGACAUACCUCUGGUGUACCAGUUGUCGUGCCAACGGCAUAGCUGGGUAGCUAUGUGUGGACGGGAUAAGUGCUGAAAGCAUCUAAGCAUGAAGCCCCCCUCAAGAUGAGAUUUCCCAACUUCGGUUAUAAGAUCCCUCAAAGAUGAUGAGGUUAAUAGGUUCGAGGUGGAAGCAUGGUGACAUGUGGAGCUGACGAAUACUAAUCGAUCGAAGACUUAAUCAA
rnacentral:rRNA from 1 species